AGAGUUUGACCCUGGCUCAGGACGAACGCUGGCGGCGUGCCUAAUACAUGCAAGUCGAACGAACUCUGGUAUUGAUUGGUGCUUGCAUCAUGAUUUACAUUUGAGUGAGUGGCGAACUGGUGAGUAACACGUGGGAAACCUGCCCAGAAGCGGGGGAUAACACCUGGAAACAGAUGCUAAUACCGCAUAACAACUUGGACCGCAUGGUCCGAGCUUGAAAGAUGGCUUCGGCUAUCACUUUUGGAUGGUCCCGCGGCGUAUUAGCUAGAUGGUGGGGUAACGGCUCACCAUGGCAAUGAUACGUAGCCGACCUGAGAGGGUAAUCGGCCACAUUGGGACUGAGACACGGCCCAAACUCCUACGGGAGGCAGCAGUAGGGAAUCUUCCACAAUGGACGAAAGUCUGAUGGAGCAACGCCGCGUGAGUGAAGAAGGGUUUCGGCUCGUAAAACUCUGUUGUUAAAGAAGAACAUAUCUGAGAGUAACUGUUCAGGUAUUGACGGUAUUUAACCAGAAAGCCACGGCUAACUACGUGCCAGCAGCCGCGGUAAUACGUAGGUGGCAAGCGUUGUCCGGAUUUAUUGGGCGUAAAGCGAGCGCAGGCGGUUUUUUAAGUCUGAUGUGAAAGCCUUCGGCUCAACCGAAGAAGUGCAUCGGAAACUGGGAAACUUGAGUGCAGAAGAGGACAGUGGAACUCCAUGUGUAGCGGUGAAAUGCGUAGAUAUAUGGAAGAACACCAGUGGCGAAGGCGGCUGUCUGGUCUGUAACUGACGCUGAGGCUCGAAAGUAUGGGUAGCAAACAGGAUUAGAUACCCUGGUAGUCCAUACCGUAAACGAUGAAUGCUAAGUGUUGGAGGGUUUCCGCCCUUCAGUGCUGCAGCUAACGCAUUAAGCAUUCCGCCUGGGGAGUACGGCCGCAAGGCUGAAACUCAAAGGAAUUGACGGGGGCCCGCACAAGCGGUGGAGCAUGUGGUCUAAUUCGAAGCUACGCGAAGAACCUUACCAGGUCUUGACAUACUAUGCAAAUCUAAGAGAUUAGACGUUCCCUUCGGGGACAUGGAUACAGGUGGUGCAUGGUUGUCGUCAGCUCGUGUCGUGAGAUGUUGGGUUAAGUCCCGCAACGAGCGCAACCCUUAUUAUCAGUUGCCAGCAUUAAGUUGGGCACUCUGGUGAGACUGCCGGUGACAAACCGGAGGAAGGUGGGGAUGACGUCAAAUCAUCAUGCCCCUUAUGACCUGGGCUACACACGUGCUACAAUGGAUGGUACAACGAGUUGCGAGCUCGCGAGAGUAAGCUAAUCUCUUAAAGCCGUUCUCAGUUCGGAUUGUAGGCUGCAACUCGCCUACAUGAAGUCGGAAUCGCUAGUAAUCGCGGAUCAGCAUGCCGCGGUGAAUACGUUCCCGGGCCUUGUACACACCGCCCGUCACACCAUGAGAGUUUGUAACACCCAAAGUCGGUGGGGUAACCUUUUAGGAACCAGCCGCCUAAGGUGGGACAGAUGAUUAGGGUG
rnacentral:rRNA from 1 species